rnacentral:rRNA from 1 species
GACGAACGCUGGCGGCGUGCCUAAUACAUGCAAGUAGAACGCACAGUUUAUACCGUAGCUUGCUACACCAUAGACUGUGAGUUGCGAACGGGUGAGUAACGCGUAGGUAACCUGCCUGGUAGCGGGGGAUAACAAUUGAAAACGUAACCAAUAACCGCUUAAAAUUGAUUAUUCCAUGAUAAUUGAUGGAAAGAUGUUAUUGCAUACCUACCAGAUGGCCCUGUGUUGUAUUAGCUAGUAGGGGAGGUAACGGGUCACCUAGGCGACGAUACAUAGCCGACCUGAGAGGGUGAUCGGCCACACUGGGACUGAGACACGGCCCAGACUCCUACGGGAGGCAGCAGUAGGGAAUCUUCGGCAAUGGACGAAAGUCUGACCGAGCAACGCCGCGGGAGUGAAGAAGGGUUUCGGAUCGUAAAGCUCUGUUGUAAGAGAAGAACGGGUGUGAGAGUGGAAAGUUCACACUGUGACGGUAUCUUACCAGAAAGGGACGGCUAACUACGUG